UGGACUAAUGAGAUUGAUCGUCUUUAGAAGAACCCCUGCAAUUUUUGGCUCGCUUUGUUCUUUCUUUCCCUCGCGCAAUGUUCUGGAAGCCUUGUUCUUCUUGGCGCAGACUGGCACCAACUCCACUGCGGGUGUCGCAGCCUGAGCAACUAAACCUUAACCCGUAGGAUUUGAUGAUCGCUCUCUUGCCGUCAUGGAGAGUUUGGUAGUCCUACCUCUCCUAGUAAGAGCGGAUGGCUCUUCCACCAUCAUAUCCUCCAUGGUUGCAACGGUCAUUAGUAGAGGAGCAACGAUGAUACCCUUGAUAGUGGAAGCCACUUUAGUGGCUCGGACUGAAAUGUCGUGAGAAGCCAUUAGGGAAAAUAGGAAGUGGAAAGGUCAAAGAUUUAUUAGAAAACAACAAUGGAGUUGCAAGGAAAUUUCAGAUAAAAGGUUCAUGAAAAAGGUAAUAAGGACAGAGAAAGAGGAUGACUCGUAUAUGCGAGGCCAUCAUAACCUUGGUAAUUUCUAUGGUAUUAGAACCCGUGAAAGGCUGCCACAUGUCCUGAACCUUUAAUUGAGGUGACUAGACGUCCUGUAAGAUUCAAAAGCGAUGACGGUUGCGUGGUAAAUUCAGCCUAAAAGAUCUUCCAUAACACGCCAAAUAUCAUACCAUUUCACGAGAUAUUUCUUGAAAAUUAUUCGAAAAAUGGUUGGGGGGUGGGGUGGGGGUGGGGUGGGGGAGAGGACUAUCUGUAUUGGUAAAAUCUAGCUUUGACAGGUGGAUAGCUUACAUGGCAAUACGAUAUUGCUUGGGAUAAGUUUCUUCCCGGGUGAUAAAUGAAGGACAUAACUCCAUCCUGACAAAAAGAGUCUUCAAUCCAGGAACUCAUUUAUGGGGAGACGAGAGUAAUGUCCCGGUGAAGCACUCCAAAGAUAGAUCCGAGGAUCCAUUGAUGAAGCAACAACGUGGGGCCUUACUUGGUCUUCAAUCGUCUCAAAAGUAUUCGGGAUCCACUCAUAUCUACUACGUUUGAUACUUAUCCAUAACCGACAAGUAUCUCGGUGGUUGCUAAUCACCUAGAGAAAUGUACGAAAGUGGGACUCGGCAUCUGAACGUUAGAUUUAGACUAUAAAUACCCCAACUUUCCUCACUUGUAAUUCAUACAAAGAUUCAACUUACUCUUUACUAUAAGAUGUUGCAUUUCUGGGCAGCAGAACUUUUAUUUGUAGCAGUAUGGCACACGAUGAAUCUCAAUAAGAUUAUUCUUUCUUUUGCUUGAUUAAUUUAAUCGCCUUAUUAUAUUAUUAUUCAUUACUUAUUUAGUCUAAUAUGGCGAGUUAUUUGA
rnacentral:lncRNA from 1 species